CGCGCGCAUGUGUGCGUGAAAGACAGAGAGUACUGUAGUCGGCACGCCGGGAAGUCCAUAACUAAUAUCUAAAACGCGGGCUGCCUUCUGAUUAACGCAUUUAGGGAUAUCGACCCGAAUCGCUCACUCGAGGAAACUUUGCGCCCCGCUCUCUGCAGCAUCUUCUCCAUCUGUCUCGCUUCUUUUUUUUUUAAUUUCCCGGAUAACAUGGUAACAACGCAGCUGCUACCAUCCCCUCCGUCCAUUCAUAAGUGGUGACAGGUCGUGUUCGGAAUCAGCUGUGAUCGGAGGACAGAAGAGGACGAUCUGAUCUGCAGGAAAACAAAACCAACCCAGAAGAAUGAGUCCGGCUGUGGAGCGUUAAGACCGAGAGGAGCUGCUUUUUCUUCCUGUCCAUUAUCUCUAGCUCUAAGUGGCGGUUCAGAUAAAUACAGAAAGGCUUUUGUGAUCUGCAGUUAAAAAGGCGAGGAUGACAGUCAAGCUGGACUUUGAGGAGUGUCUGAAAGACUCUCCACGUUUCAGAGCUGACAUCGAGGUAGUCCAAAGCGAUGUGAGUGAACUUGAGACACGGCUGGAAAAGCUCGUGAAGCAAUGCCAUGCCAUGCUGGAGGCAGGCAGAACCUACUGCCAGACCAGCAAGAGCUUUGUGAACGGCCUCCGGGAGCUGGGACACCACUGCUCUGAGGACAAAAUGAUGGAGGACUGCUUGGACAAAUUUUCCAAAAAGCUGUCUGUCAUCUUGGAGUUACAGGGGGAGGUCAUUGAGACCACACAGAACUCAGUCAAGACGAAGCUGCAGAACUUUGUGAAAGAAGAUGUUCGCCGGUUCAAGGAUGUGAGAAAAGAGUUUGAGCGCAGCAGUGAAGCCCUGGAGGGGGCGCUGGCCAGAAACGCUCAGGCUCCACGAGGAAAGCAGCACGAAGUGGAGGAGGCCAGUAACGCUCUGCUCAAUGCACGUAAAACCUUUCGGUCGGAGGCCUUGGACUAUGUUUUGCAGAUAAAUGUCAUUGAGGCCAAGAAGAAGACAGACAUUCUCAUGGCAAUGUUGUCGCUGAUGGAGGCCCAAGCCCAGCUCUUCCAACAAGGCCACCAGUCUCUGUCAGAACUCGAUCAAUAUCGUCAUAAACUGAAUGAAGAGAACACCCAGUUUGUUCUAAACGCUGCCAGGGAGAAGAGGGACAUGGAGCAAAGGCAUGCAGCAAUCAAGCAAAAGGACAUGUCCUAUGAUGACUCCAUUAUGGACUUCAAUGCGGACGCAGCUAAUGGGAUUGCAAUGGAGGGCUACCUCUAUAAGAGAGCCAGCAACGCCUUCAAGACCUGGAGCAGGCGCUGGUUUUCAAUUCAGAAGAAUCAGCUGGUGUAUCAAAAAAAAUUCAAGGACCAGCCUACAGUUGUGGUGGAAGACUUGCGUCUUUGCACAGUCAAGCCCAGCUCUGAAAACGAGAGACGGUUCUGCUUUGAAGUGGUCUCCCCGUCAAAGUGCUGCUUGUUGCAGGCGGACUCAGAGAGGCAGCAGCAAGCAUGGAUCAGCGCCGUCCAAAACAGCAUCGCUUCAGCCUUCCAGGAGCGCAGGGAAGACACACACAGCCCAAGACAGCGUUGCAGCUCGAUGUCAGCAAGCCAUUUGAUAGGGGGAGGAGGCGGGGGAGGCGGGGAUCAGGAAGACGAGGGCUACAAGGCGCUGGACGAGGUUCAGGCCAUUCCAGGGAACCGGCAGUGCUGCGACUGCGGAGAGCCCGGUCCUGAUUGGGCCUCCAUCAACCUCGGCAUCACACUGUGUAUCGUCUGCUCAGGAAUACACAGGAGCUUGGGAGUCCAUUUCUCCAAAGUACGCUCCCUCACUCUCGACUCCUGGGAGCCUGAGCUUGUUAAGUUGAUGUGUGAAUUAGGAAACACAGUAAUCAACAGGAUCUAUGAGGCUCGGAUCGAUGAGAUCACCAUCAAGAAGCCCCACCCGGCCAGUCCCAGAGGAGACAAGGAAUCCUGGAUCCGUUCAAAGUACGUUGAAAAGAAGUUUAUCCAAAAGUUGCCAGAGACUGGCAGGAACCCCCCACUGAGGCGGUCCAGCGCCAGGAGAAACCGAGCGACCACGCAGGAUCGGACCGUACAGAAACCGGCUUUAAAACCCAAACCGAACCGAGCCACUCUGCCGCGGCUCACAGGGCUGAGCCCCAGUGACAUCGUCCAAAAGAACAACACAAGCUUUCACAAAGAAGUUGAAGAGGAAGAGGAGGAUCUCAGCGGUCUCCAUCCCGGGGCGCUGCUGUACCGCUCGGCAGCCCUGCAGAACUUCCCCGUCAUGGCUGACGCUCUGGCCCACGGAGCUGACGUCAACUGGGUCAAUGUGGCUGAGGAGUCGAGCACACCGCUGAUACAGGCUGUCUCAGUGAAUGCUCUGGCGGCCUGUGAGUUCCUGCUGCAGAAUGGCGCCAAUGUCAACCAGGCAGAUAGCAACGGGAGAGGCCCGCUGCACCACGCCACCAUCUUGGGUCACACAGGGUUGGUUUGUCUCUUCUUGAAACGAGGAGCUGACUACAACGCCAGAGACAAGAACCAAAAAGACCCCAUAAGUAUCGCCGUGGACAACGCAAACGCAGACAUCGUCACUUUGUUGCGGAUUGCCAAAAUGAACAAGGAGAUGCGGGAGAUGGACGGAGCGUUUGGCCAAUCAGGUCAUUCAGGGGGGCAGGGAUCUGGAGGGUUAUUGGGCGGGACAGGAGGUGGGCUGGCCCACACCAGGAAGAGUCUCCAGGCUAUAAAGAACCACAUAAGCGGCUGGGCUCUAGGGGGGCAAAAUGAUUAACAGGGAUACAAUGAGGCAUGCAUCAUCAGCUUUUAGUUACAGAGGAGGAAAAAAGCGACAUUGUGAAUGAGUAAAAUCCAAAAGAACACAGGGUACGACGAGAAUAAAAGCAAGAACACAGAUGGAAACAGGUUUAUGAACACAGGACGAACAUUGAAACAUUCUACUUAGGAAUCUGCAUGCACUUUGAAUUACAAAUGCACAUCUUCCUGCACUUUGAAACCCACAAACUAUCUAAAUCCCCUGUCAGGAGACAGCGCUAUAUGUGGGUGUUUUCAAUGUCUCACUGUUGUAUAACUGAGCUUUAAGAACAUGUAUAUAUAAUAGACCUAUACCAGGCCUGUUCUCAGUAUAUUUUGGAUAUUUUUCUAUCCAGUAUGUACAUUGUGCUGACUCUUAGAUAGUCUUUAUGGUGUAUCUGGUUGUGUGUUGAGCUGUCCUUUCAUUCCAGUUAUGUAAGCUAAAUUCAGCGUUGGGUUUGGUUCUCAGUGACAAUUUUCUCACACUAUUCUGUGAAUAGUGACUCAGUUGAAGCUUUUACACUGUUAUGUUUAUAUUUAUUUUGCUGUCAGCUAGGCCCAAGAGCUCUGUGCUAUAGCCUGUGAGCUUACGGUUAACAGUGGGUUUUGUUUGUCACCUGGCUCUUUUUUAAGCUGCAAAGUCCAUUCCUUCAUGACUGAUCUAGAUCAAGGCUCUUGUUCCAUAGAGAGUGAGUUGAAUCCAGUCCUCAGUCGUGAAGGAAUGGAAACGUGAUGCGUUUGUCCGCUUGAAACGACUGCUGGUCAGUAUUUGACGUGCUGUGCUUUGUCAUUGUCUGUCUCUGUUGUGUGCACUCAUUGCCUUCUGCCCACUGAGACGUCCGGCUGGUCUCAACUGCUUGUGCAGUGUGCCACCUACAGCAAAAACUAAGAGGUGAUGAAACCUACCAGGACAUUUUUAGAGACUUUUCACACAUGGCCUCCAACAAUCCCGAGAAGCUCAAACGCCGCAGUGCAGACCCCAGAACUUAACCAGCUGCUGCCUCCUCCUCCUCCUCCUCACCCCACUGUACAAUGCCACAUUUCACACCUCAGCUUAACAUACUUUCACAUCACACAUGCAGAAAAGAUUCAGCCCACAGGCACACACACAAACACACACACGCUCUUCCUGGCUACCUGCCACAUGUUCAGUCACAGCUCAGCUGGUGUUGACUUCAGAGGGGACAAACGUUCCCAACAGUGAAUUCUUUGUGUGAACACGUCAGAGCAGAACAAUUGCGUCCAAGUGGAAACACUGCAACAGUUUUAUGAGACCAGCAUGAGGUGUCUUCAUGUCUAGCAGGGGUAACACCGACACUCUGCCAAGAUUUCCUAAUUAAAACCAGUAAAUCUGUUUUUUUUUCCUCUUUAUAACAAAAAAAGGGUUGUUUUAGUGUUUUUACUGACUUGUUACAUGAAAAUAAAGUGAAAACGUUUGUUGGACAUGUACAUAAAUGCUGCAAGAAGAAGUGAACUUUUAUUUCAACAGUCUUUCGACAAAUUGUAGCAGUUGCAGCUUUUUACAUUUUUAGACAAUUUUCAUGUCUAUUUUGUCUAAAUUAUGAGGUACUUCAAAUUUGUAUUAAGAUCAAAUAAAACACAAUACAAACUUA